rnacentral:lncRNA from 1 species
AAAAGAAAGAAAGAAAGCCAAGGCAGAGAUGCAGUGGGACCGAGGCCAAAGAAAGAGUAACCCUGUUUUCUCACUAACGACCCUCUUCCAAAUUUUCCUCACCACAUCCCGGGUCACUCCCUCACCUCCACUCCGGGACCUGUCUUACACUUUCAACCUGAUUGCCCACAAUUCUCUAGAUCUCACGAAGCCUCCAUCUCUAAGUUACUCGGAGCCAAGAAGCCCCGGGACUCCUCUAACUGCUCAAGCCCUCCACCGCAGAGGGCUUUCACCCUUUCCCCAACACUGCCUCCAACCCCGAGCCACUAACCAAGGGACUCUGGCCUGCCCGCCACCAGCCCUCGACAGUUCCUCCUGCAGUGUCCCCUGGGCCGCCUGUCCUCACCUGAGGCCCCAGGGAGACCGACACAGCGCCCUCGCGGCGCCGCUCGCCUGCCCUCCUCACCUGGUACUGCGCCGCGGGGCCAGCGGGGCCCAUGGGGCGGAAGGCGGCGGCCCCCGGUACCCCCAUGCCUCCAGAAGGCCCCGGGCCCCUGAGCGCCGGGCUGGGCAGCAUUCCGGGUCCCGCAGGCGGAGGCGGCGCACCAAGGGCCGCGGCAACGGCGCCGCCGCCGGGGCUCAGCGGAGGCAGCGGGAACCCGCCCGCGCCACGGCCGGACAUCACUCUGUCCCGUCCCGCGGUGCAGCGAUCCGGCCUCCGGUCUCCGUGUUGAGUCCGCUCCGCGAGCUACGUUCCGCGAUCCGGGACUUCCCGAUUUUACUACCGGGUUCCGGGAUCUUCUACUCCAAGUUCGCAAGUUCUUUGCAGCCCGGCUUUAGGAUCCCGCGGCCCCUCUGACUCCGCUCCUGCCAGGGAUACUCCAGAUCCGGGAUGUGCCGCGAGCCCGCAGGCCUCUCCCGGCCUCCGGAGGUUUGAUCGCCGGAGUCCAGUUACCCAGAGGCGGUUACGAACUCCCAGCCCCGCCCAACCUAGACCCUGCAGGCCCCGCCCCUGCCCGGCAACCCAAUCGAGAAUGCCUCUUUAAAUCCCGCCCUCGCGAGACCCGCCUCAAACCAGCACCUCCCAUAACUGACGGCCUUAGAGCCCCGCCCUUGGGGGAGGCGGCCUUUUCCCGGAGGAGCGGGAGCGGAAGCUGCACGCGGAAGCGCGGAGGAGAAAGGCGUGGGGUCAGAGUUCGAAGGUCGCGUAGGGCCGUCCGAACUGUUAGGUGUUUGCUGUUUGCUCCGUAGUGCUGCUGCCUCGGCGAGAUCCCCGAUAUGGCCCAUCCAAAACAGUUCCGUCAAUUCUGCGUCUUCAAGCCUUAAAAAUAAGCGAUCCGCGGCGGGAAAGCCGCCAACCACUUUUUAAGAGCCCAUCUCGGGGCCGGUGGCAUAAGGCACCCCACACCCACCCACCCAUCUACCCCCAGAAGCCUGUAUUGGUUGCUCCGCGCUUCCAAGGACAUGGGCGGCCCCAGACGUGACCCAGCUGAGUGAAAGCUUGGCUUGGCCCAACUCCGAGUACUUAACUGCACUAACUUGCCCGUGCCUUUCUUUAAGGAAGCCUGGUAAUUCGCAGAAAAUGUUUUUAGGUGAAGGGAUUUUGCAUGCUGAGAGAACUCCAGCCAAUCCUGUUAAGAGGCAGAGUAAGC